GGGGUUGUAGCUCAGUGGUUGAGUGCUUGCUUGCCUGGCAUGCAUGAGGCACUGGGUUCGAUCCUCAGCACCACA
rnacentral:tRNA from 1 species